rnacentral:rRNA from 1 species
CCUACGGGUGGCAGCAGUGGGGGAUAUUGCACAAUGGGGGGAACCCUGAUGCAGCGACGCCGCGUGUGGGAAGACGGUCCUCUGGUUUGUAAACCACUGUCCCCAGGGACGAAAAUGACGGUACCUGGGGAGGAAGCUCCGGCUAACUACGUGCCAGCAGCCGCGGUAAUACGUAGGGAGCGAGCGUUGUCCGGAAUUACUGGGUGAAAAGGGAGCGUAGGCGGGGAUGCAAGUUGGGUGGCAAAACUACCGGCUCAACUGGUAGUCGCACUCAAAACUGCAGCUCUUGAGGGAAGUAGAGGCAGGCGGAAGGCCUAGUGUAGCGGUGAAAGGCGUAGAUAGUAGGAGGAACACCAGUGGCGAAGGCGGCCUGCUGGGCUUUUACUGACGCUGAGGCUCGAAAGUGUGGGGAGCAAACAGGAUUAGAUACCCUUGUAGUC